AUUGAACGCUGGCGGCAGGCUUAACACAUGCAAGUCGAGCGGGGGAAGGUAGCUUGCUACCGGACCUAGCGGCGGACGGGUGAGUAAUGCUUAGGAAUCUGCCUAUUAGUGGGGGACAACAUCUCGAAAGGGAUGCUAAUACCGCAUACGUCCUACGGGAGAAAGCAGGGGAUCUUCGGACCUUGCGCUAAUAGAUGAGCCUAAGUCAGAUUAGCUAGUUGGUGGGGUAAAGGCCUACCAAGGCGACGAUCUGUAGCGGGUCUGAGAGGAUGAGCCGCCACACUGGGACUGAGACACGGCCCAGACUCCUACGGGAGGCAGCAGUGGGGAAUAUUGGACAAUGGGGGGAACCCUGAUCCAGCCAUGCCGCGUGUGUGAAGAAGGCCUUAUGGUUGUAAAGCACUUUAAGCGAGGAGGAGGCUACUUUAGUUAAUACCUAGAGAUAGUGGACGUUACUCGCAGAAUAAGCACCGGCUAACUCUGUGCCAGCCGCCGCGGUAAUAC
rnacentral:rRNA from 1 species